ACCAAAGUGGGGGACCUUCGGGCCUCACGCCUUCGGAUGAGCCCAGAUGAGAUUAGCUGGUAGGUAAGGUAAAGGCUUACCUAGGCGACGAUCUCUAGCGGGUCUGAGAGGAUAGCCCGCCACACUGGAACUGAGACACGGUCCAGACUCCUACGGGAGGCAGCAGUGGGGAAUAUUGCACAAUGGGCGAAAGCCUGAUGCAGCCAUGCCACGUGUGUGAAGAAGGCCUUCGGGUUGUAAAGCACUUUCAGCGAGGAGGAAGCGAUAAAUGCGAAUACCAUUUAUUUUUGACGUUACUCGCAGAAGAAGCACCGGCUAACUCCGUGCCAGCAGCCGCGGUAAUACGGAGGGUGCGAGCGUUAAUCGGAAUAACUGGGCGUAAAGGGCAUGUAGGCGGUGAGUUAAGUCAGAUGUGAAAUCCCCGAGCUCAACUUGGGAAUGGCAUUUGAAACUGGGUCGCUAGAGUUUUCUAGAGGGGGGUAGAAUUCCAGGUGUAGCGGUGAAAUGCGUAGAUAUCUGGAGGAAUACCGGUGGCGAAGGCGGCCCC
rnacentral:rRNA from 1 species